GUGCUCACUUUAGCAACAUACAUACUAAAAUUGGAAUAAUGCAGAGAUUAGUAUGGCCCCUGCACAAGGAGGACGCACGAAUUUGUGAAGCGUUCCAUAUUUUA
ensembl:snRNA U6 U6 spliceosomal RNA